AAUAACGUACUAUAAUCAAUGCUUCUUAAGCAUGUGAUUAGCUUUUAGUAUCCUUUUAAUCCUACUAUAUUAUUUGGGAAAUACAUUUUAAAUGUAACCUUAAUUUUUGUAAUUAAUUACAUGACAAUACCAUUAGAAAAAUUUAAUCAAAAACAAAAUCUUUUAAUGACAUCAUUAAGGUUACCAAAAUCAUUUAACGACAAUAUUCAUUUCUUAAUUAUAGGGCUUGUUGAAUCUAAAGACGGGUCAUCAAAGAUUUUCUAAACUAAAGCAAAAUAUACCGAAUAUUCAAAUAUCUUUCUGUUACCAAAUUAUAAACAAAUAAGUUCGUAAAACAAUUUAAUAUUUUAUAUACGAAAUCAAUAAAUCUUAAUCACAUAAAAAUUUGUAC
rnacentral:sRNA from 1 species